CUUGGCCUGUGGCCCACGGGAGUCUGAAUCCCAGAUCUGGAUGGGAGCUGCCGGGGAAGUGCCCUGGUGGAGGCGGUGGCUCCCGGAGGGGACAGCCCUGGGUGUGGGAGGCGGCCCACGGGCUGCCAGGCCUGUGCCGGCCCGGGUGUGGGACCUCCUGCAGCUGCCCCGCCCAGGCCCCGCCUGAGUGGAGUUAUAUAAAGGGCCUUUAUGAGCUGGGAGCGGGUGUGAUCCGCCCCGGGAGAACACACAGUCCAUUGUUGGCGGGCCCUUGUGGGCUCCCAGCGCAAUCUGUCUGUUUUGGGUGCUCCUCACCCCGUCGGUCUCCGCAGGCAGCGUCGCUGAGGGCUUCCACGUGGCAGCCCGCAGACAGCAGAACUCCAGCCCUUCGGGAGUGAGGGAGAGCAAGGCUUUCUGUCCUCCCUCUGGGGUGGGGAAGGGAAUUCUGCUGAAGACUAACCUUUGACUUGUCUCCCUGGCUCUGUUUCAUUUUGGUUGUGGCCCGGAUGGAACUCAGGGCCUUUCCCACGCCAGGCCCCGAGCUGACAUUACGUGGUCCACAGCACAGCGAGCACGUAUGUUCUCAUCAGUCACGUGUGUGUGGAAACCGAGUGCAGGCACUUUCUCAAUGGAGGGUUUUUACCUGGACAGACUUGAAACUUGCGGGGAAGACCAGGGCUCUCUGCUGACCUCUGAGCAGAGGGGGCUCGGAAGGACAGCGAAAUGGAAGGCACUUUUGAAGAAUCCCAUCACACACACAAGCUGGAUUGAGCGCAUUAACGUUGCAGCCCUCAGCUGCCCCCAGAUUCCAGGGACAGGGGCAGGGGACAGUCAGGAAAGUUGCUGCCCGCUGUGGCCCCUGGAGGGACAGCCAGGACCCGGUGGAGGCAUCCAGCUCCAGAGCUCACCUGGGACUCUGAUCCUGGGUGGCAGGACUCCAGCCUUCUCCGUCCCUGUCCCUUCCUGGCCUGCUGUCUUGGACAGAGGUGGCAGGGCUGGGCUCCCUCCAGGGGGCAGAAGGACAGGGGCUCAGCCCGUACCCAGGCGUCGGGGCCCCGGUGGCCUUGGCCGGGCUUCUGGAAAUCUCUCCCGGGAGCAGCACUCCUCCUCACACGGAUGAAGCCAGGAGACUGAUUUUGUGUCUGUUUUCCUCGAGCCCUUGGUGUGUUUGCACAGCCACAAAAAGCCCCUUGUCAAUUACUUCACUCCUUGCAAACCCUGGGUGCAGGCUUCAAAAUCGCCCAAGGAUCUUUUCAUCAGGUCAAAGGAAAAGCAUGCUAUUUCGGUCUAGGAACACAUCUCUCUGAGCUGCAGAAUUCACGUCACGUAACAAGCACACUGCCUGGGGUAGGGUAGGAGUGUAAGUGGUUUUUUGAUUAUUUUUCUUGUAGUGUAUUUUUCAGUAAAUACACUUUCAAGUCACACCUGAGCAGCCGUAACUUGCUACUCACAGGCUAAGUCCAGAAGCAUUUUUUUAAGAAUUGCACAAGACCAGUGUUUUGGAAGAGGUUUUGCCUGUGUGGGGGGCAGGAGCUGUGCAUGGAGCUGGCAGCAGAGAUGUGAACUUCCGCCCCCAGCACUGACAGCCGGGCUCCAUGGGGCCUGAGUUUCAGGGCCCAUCCAACCCUGAGCUGUGUCCUGUGGACCAGACGGCCCUGUGGGUCAGCAAGCUCUCUUCCCAGCCAGGGGGAGCCCUGUGACCGGGCCCAGCACCGCUCUGGGUGAAUCCACAGGGGACAGGAGCUCCUGUCACCCCCAUGUGGGUCUCGUCAGCGUGGGCCGGCUGCUUGGAGAGGUGGGCGUGUGUCACAGUGUGAGCCAGCAUCUAUGGGUGUGCACGGCCUCACAAGGCUGCCUGAGAGCAGCUGGUCAGUGCCCCUCUCUCCUCUGGGGACGUCUUCCAAGAAGUUCUGGCGAUGCCUGAGGGCCAGUGCUGUGCUCUUUCUUGUGCGUUCAAAUUCACCGUAAAGUUCAUGCUGCAAAUCAGGCGCAGUAAGAGAUCAACAAGGAUAAACCCUAAUAAAGUAGGACAAUGGUAAUGAUGUGCUGUUAUAUUGUACAUUUAUAACACGGGACUUAUUUAAGACUCAUGCGCUGUUUAUUUCUGGAAUUUUCUACUUGACAGUUUUGGACUGUGGUUCACUUUGGGUAACUAACCCUGUGGAAAGGAAAGCUGCUGACUAAGGAGGACCCGCAGAUUGAUGAUCGCGGUUUGGGGGGAGUUUGAGGAUGGAACCCGGGGGUCCUUAACUGCCCAACACGUGCUCUGCUGCUGAGCAGCA